rnacentral:rRNA from 1 species
CAGCAGCCGCGGUAAUACGAAGGGUGCAAGCGUUAAUCGGAAUUACUGGGCGUAAAGCGUGCGUAGGCGGUGAGUUAAGUCUGCUGUGAAAUCCCCGGGCUCAACCUGGGAAUGGCAGUGGAUACUGGCUCGCUAGAGUGUGUCAGAGGGGGGUGGAAUUCCGCGUGUAGCAGUGAAAUGCGUAGAUAUGCGGAGGAACACCGAUGGCGAAGGCAGCCCCCUGGGCCAAUACUGACGCUCAUGCACGAAAGCGUGGGGAGCAAACGGGAUUAGAUACCCCAGUAGUCCCUGUCUCUUAUAC